AUUGAACGCUGGCGGCAUGCUUUACACAUGCGAGUCGAACGGCAGCGCGGGCUUCGGCCUGGCGGCGAGUGGCGAACGGGUGAGUAAUAUAUCGGAACGUACCCAGAAGUGGGGGAUAACGUAGCGAAAGUUACGCUAAUACCGCAUACGAUCUACGGAUGAAAGCAGGGGAUCGCAAGACCUUGUGCUUUUGGAGCGGCCGAUAUCUGAUUAGCUAGUUGGUGAGGUAAAGGCUCACCAAGGCGACGAUCAGUAGCUGGUCUGAGAGGACGACCAGCCACACUGGAACUGAGACACGGUCCAGACUCCUACGGGAGGCAGCAGUGGGGAAUUUUGGACAAUGGGGGCAACCCUGAUCCAGCAAUGCCGCGUGAGUGAAGAAGGCCUUCGGGUUGUAAAGCUCUUUUGUCAGGGAAGAAACGGGAGUGGCUAAUAUCCAUUCCUAAUGACGGUACCUGAAGAAUAAGCACCGGCUAACUACGUGCCAGCCGCCGCGGUAAGAC
rnacentral:rRNA from 1 species